rnacentral:rRNA from 1 species
CCCUUAGAUGUUCUGGGCUGCACGCGCGCUACACUGAUACUUUCAGCGAGUCCACCACCUUGCCUGGGAGGGUGGGGUAACCUCUGGAAAGUGCAUCGUGAUGGGGAUCGAUUAUUGUAAUUAUUAAUCUUCAACGAGGAAUUCCUAGUAAGCAUGUGUCAUCAGCCCGUGCUGAUUACGUCCCUGCCCUUUGUACACACCGCCCGUCGCUACUACCGAUUGAACGUUUUAGUGAGGUAUUUGGACUGGACCUUCGGAGGUUCGCGCCUCCGUUGCUGUUCGGGAAGACUCCCAAACUUGAGCGUUUAGAGGAAGUAAAAGUCGUAACA